rnacentral:lncRNA from 1 species
GCAUAUGAAUUAGUAACUAAAAAUUCUUUUGUUAAUAUCAAAUGUAAUUCUUAAAGGUGUUAAGAUUUUAAAAUCUGAAACAUGUACCUUAAAAAAUGUUAUCUCCAAAUAACAAAAUCUUAGUAAUUAUAAAAAUCCUAUGUAAAAGCUUGGAAUUUCCCUAAUUUAUACUGAAGGACUGACCUUUAAAAAAAAAAGUAAGUACAAAUAUAUCCUGAUACCAUUUUAGUGGCUAUUUAGAACCAUUACUAGCUCAUUUGGGGGUUCUAUACUAAACAGAUAUAUGAAGGGACCAAGAACUCAAUAAUCAAGACUCCU